CACAUCACGUUGAAAAACCGGUUCCCGUACGAUCACCGAAGUUAAGCAACGUUGAGGCUGGUCCGUACCUAGAUGGGUACGUUUUCGAAUACUAGGUGUUGCGA